GGCUCAGUAGCAGAGGGUCUGCAUCUGCUUUUGAUAGAGAGGAGAGCCAUUUAUAAUGCAGAAUAAGCCUGUUCAACUCAGGCCUGAGCCA